GUCCACGCCCUAAACGAUGGGCACUCAGUGUGGGAGGUAUCGACCCCUUCCGUGCUGCAGCUAACGCAGUAAGUGCCCCGCCUGGGGAGUACGGCCGCAAGGUUGAAACUCAAAGGAAUUGACGGGGGCCCGCACAAGCGGUGGAGCAUGUGGUUCAAUUCGACGCAACGCGAAGAACCUUACCUGGGUUUGACAUGCUGGUAGUAGGGAACCGAAAGGGGACUGAGCCCCGCAAGGGGAAGCCAGCACAGGUGCUGCAUGGCUGUCGU
rnacentral:rRNA from 1 species